rnacentral:rRNA from 1 species
GAGAGAGUUCAAGAGUACGUGAAACUGCUCAGAGGUAAACGGGUGGGCCCUCGAAACCCGAUCUCGGGGGGAUUCAGUCGAUAGCCUCGCCCGAGCUGCGCUACCGCCGACUCCAGUCGGGAGCGCGGUGUGUACGACACGCAGCGGGCGUUCCGAUCGUCGCAAUUCCCCCCGUGCUGUGGACGCCGCAGCCGGUUCGGUCAGUAAACCGAGUCUGCCAGGAGGGCGUGCGAGGCAGGUGGCGCGGAGCAGUCUCUCUAGGGUGCUCCGCGUUGUUUGGCAGCGCGAUCUUCCCGUGGCGGGACACCGGACCGAGGUUGUGGUUCCCCCUACGGGGAACCGGCCGUCUCCUCCGCCCGUCGUAGCGAACUGUCCGCGGAGGUGCCCGCGCCGAGUAGGCCGUCACCACUCCUGAGAGUGGCCGGCGACUCGCGUGCACCGACAGUGCCGCGGCCGUAGAAGCGUGGAGGUCGAUGGCUGGCGGCGAGUAGGUCGGUAACCCACCCGACCCGUCUUGAAACACGGACCAAGGAGUCUAACAUGUGCGCGAGUCGGCGAGGCUCGAUUAAGCUCGUGGGCGCAAUGAAAGUGGAGGCGGCACUACUGCCGUAGAGAGUUGGGAUCCCCCGUUUCGGCGGGGGCGCACCAACGACCCGUCCCGUCCGAUUCAUCGGUGGGGCGGAGUGCGAGCGCACACGUUGGGACCCGAAAGAUGGUGAACUAUGCCCGGGCAGGGCGAAGUCAGAGGAAACUCUGGUGGAGGCUCGCAGCGGUUCUGACGUGCAAAUCGAUCGUCAGAUCCGGG